UGCUUGGGAACUUGCCUUUGCGAGGGGGAUAACAGUUGGAAACGACUGCUAAUACCGCAUAAUGUCUUCGGACCAAACGGGGCUUCGGCUCCGGCGCAAAGAGAGGCCCAAGUGAGAUUAGCUAGUUGGUAAGGUAACGGCUUACCAAGGCGACGAUCUCUAGCUGUUCUGAGAGGAAGAUCAGCCACACUGGGACUGAGACACGGCCCAGACUCCUACGGGAGGCAGCAGUGGGGAAUAUUGCACAAUGGGGGAAACCCUGAUGCAGCCAUGCCGCGUGUGUGAAGAAGGCCUUCGGGUUGUAAAGCACUUUCAGUUGUGAGGAAAAGUUAGUAGUUAAUACCUGCUAGCCGUGACGUUAACAACAGAAGAAGCACCGGCAACUCCGUGCCAGCAGCCGCGGUAAUACGGAGGGUGCGAGCGUUAAUCGGAAUUACUGGGCGUAAAGCGCACGCAGGCGGUUUGUUAAGCUAGAUGUGAAAGCCCCGGGCUCAACCUGGGAUGGUCAUUUAGAACUGGCAGACUAGAGUCUUGGAGAGGGGAGUGGAAUUCCAGGUGUAGCGGUGAAAUGCGUAGAUAUCUGGAGGAACAUCAGUGGCGAAGGCGACUCCCUGGCCAAAGACUGACGCUCAUGUGCGAAAGUGUGGGUAGCGAACAGGAUUAGAUACCCUGGUAGUCCACACCGUAAACGCUGUCUACUAGCUGUGUGUGUCUUUAAGGCGUGCGUAGCGAAGCUAACGCGCUAAGUAGACCGCCUGGGGGAGUACGGCCGCAAGGUUAAAACUCAAAUGAAUUUGACGGGGGGCCCGCACAAGCGGUGGAGCAUGGUGGGUUUAAUUCGAUGC
rnacentral:rRNA from 1 species